CAGGUCCAGAAAUAUUCUCCUGCUGAAAAGACUCUGGAGUACAAAAUUCUGUGUCUCUCUCUCUCGUCUUCAUGGUGUGAGAAGCUCAGAAAAUCCUCAGAAAAUCCCACUGCUGCAAACAGAACUAACCAGAAGCACAGGUGUGCAGAGAAAAGGCCAUAUGAGGGUGUAGCAAGAAGGUGGCUGUCUACAAGUCAGGAAAAGAGCUCUUGCCAGGAGCCGAAUUUGCCAGGAUCUUGAUCUUGGACUUCCAGCCUCCAGAACUGCUGCCCCUAUGGACUCUGGAAAGGCUCAUUCACUGUCGUGGUAAGGCUCAUUCACUGUCGUGGUAUUCCGCACAGCAUUGCUUUUGAUCAAGGAAAUCACUUCACAGUGAAGGAAAUGUGGUAAUGGUCUCCUGCCAUGAAGUUAACCAUACACUCCAUCACCUGGAAGCAGCUGGCUAGCCGAACUGAAAGGGCGAACGGCUUCAUGAAGACUCAGGUGGAAUGCCAGUUGGGACACAACACACAAAAGAAUGGGAUUCUGUCUUAAGGGGUGUCUCUCCUUUGCUAAGAUCCAUGAAUCUAGGAAUCAAGCAAUGGAAGUAGAGGUGUUCUUCUCUCCAUUGUCACUAGUAACCCAGUCACAGAAAGUUUGCUUCUUGUCCCAGCAUCUCUGAGCUCUGCUGCUUUGGAGAUGUUCCCACCAUUGGACACAACGAUGGUUUCACUGAGUUGUAUGAUUGAGACUGCCACUGGGCUAUUUUGGGCUUAUUAUGCCACUAACCACUGGUCAGAAGAAGAGGUCACUCUGCUGGCUGGAGGGAUCAAUCCCAAUAACCGAGGGGAGACUGAGUUGCUGCUGCCCCAUAGGGCAGUGAGGAUGACAUCUGGAAUGACUCUAAAUAUUUCCAUGCCUCAUAGUGGAGGUUUAUAGGAAACUACAGACCUCUCCCUCACAUCCCCCACAAAAAAGGAAGAGAAGAACUCAUUAGGAUUCAGACCACUUUGCCAAUGAAGUUUCAAAUUGUCAUGUGGCACUUCCGGCUGAGGGCAAGGGAAACACGGAAUGGGAGGUGGAAGAAGGAAGCCAUAGGUACCACUUAUAGCCUUGAGACUGGUGACAUAAAGGAGGGCAGAAAGUAGCUCUGCCUCUUCUCUUUGCUUAGAUGCAUAUAUCUUUCUGUGUGUCUUCUUCUCUCUUCUCCUUUCAUUAUUACUUCAUGUACAAAUUCACUCUCAUUUAACCUUUAGGUGACACGCUAUUUGGUGACACUAUGACUGAAUCAGAGGAGAGUAAUGAACGCAUCCAGGGAUGGGUACCAUGGCUACUCACCUCCUCAUGCGGGGAAGGGGUGAGUACAAAAGUUCAAAUGUGCGUCAAAGAAUGCUCUAGAGGCCAAGUAGCUGGAGGGUAGACUGUUAUCAAGGAUCAGUGUAAUACUUCAUAUCACCAAAUCUUCCCUUCUUUGAGCCGCUUGGUGAUUCUGGAGCCAGAUCUGUGUCCAACAGUGCAUGGUGGCUCAAGGCACUUGCAGGUCAGCAAAUCCCCUCUGGCACCCUGUUCACGAGGCUUUGCAGUGGAGGAAGUCCAUUGAGACACUGCACAUGAACAGCUUUCUGGGGGUACUGUAGGGAACAGGUUUCCAGCAAGUUCUGCUGGUGAGGCACCACGGCGACAUGUAUGCUAUUGACCUAGCUGUAGCCAAGACAUCCCUCGCAGGGCGCGGAUCCCAGCCUGUGUGGGGGUGUACUUGCUUUCUCAGGCGCUCUGGUUCAGCCCUAGAGCUAUUGCUCCUUCUCCUAUUUCUGUCUGUGCUUCCUGUACUUUUAAAGAGUUCUCUCUACAUUUCACUAGCCACUCCCUCAUUAGUCUCAUCCCUUUGUUAUGGCUUAAUAAUUCUAUUUUAUGAAAGUUUGCCUGUUUCAAAUAACUGUGGUUUCUCUCUCCUGAUUGGACCCAGAGGGAUAACACAGCAAGAGGAAGGGGCUUUUCUCCCUGGAUCCAUGGUCUUUUCCUCCUGGACCUACACCCUGGCUCCCAUUGGGAAGCUUCCCCACCAGCGGCACAUGGCAAAGCACAUUCCUUCCAGGGUGUUUCAUUGGUGGCCCAGGUGACUUCCCAGCUGGUCUUGCUGACACCCUGAGGGUGCUCCCCAGGAAGACACAUUCUAGCCAUUUUUGCUGGGACCAGGGCAAGCUGUGUCCUGCUCCAGACUGUGGCCCUUGGGGAGCUCUUGACCUCCCAGCAAGCCUCAGCUGACCCUUGCAAUGAUGUCCAGAUCUCAGCCAUGGUGAGAGGAGGGCAAGCCUGUCUAACCAUAUUGCUUCCUUGGAUGAGCUCCCUCCGCCAAAGAAGCAGUGGCUGCCCCUACACUGGCUGCUUCUGUGUUCUUCAGCAUUUUUUCUACCCUUCUUAGGAGUGAGUCCCGUGUUACUUAAUAAUUCUACAUAUUAAACUUUCUCUGCUCCCAUAAGUCCUGUGGCUUCUGUCUGAAGGAUCCUGUGUGAUACAUUUACUAUGAAAUAUUGUAUCAGGCAGGGUUGUGUUGUAUAUAACCAAACAUCUAAACAGAUUUAAUACGGAGAAGCAGGUAUUUAUGAAGAGGGGGAAGAAUAUAGCCUAGACGGGAACAUGGCCAAGGCCCCCAGGACCACACUGCAGACAGAGCUUGAUAGGGGAACUGCUACCUUUGCCACUCAGGGCAUUGUGGGGUCAGGAAGCACAAACACAAGAUCAUUGGCUCCGGCAGUAGAAAACCUGAGCAGCAAAGCAGAGAGCAGGAAGUUGUAUUCUGAACUUGUAGCUUCAGAACUACAUUGCACCUGGGCGACCCGGCAAAUCCACAUCCCACCUACUCCCGAAUUAACCUUUCAACUCCAGGUCUCCUGUGAGUGCAGCUGAUUUGCAGAGGCUUUGCAAUACAGUGUAUUAAUAGAAAAUUGGAGGUAGGGUGAGGCCAACAGAUCAGGAAAUGAUUGCCGGUGAAAGGAUAGCUUAUUUCUCACAGAUCCCAAGAGAAGUGCAUACCAUGCAGGACCACAUGGGAAGCAUCGGGGUCACCCAGGAGGCAGAGGG